UCCUCUCUUCUCUCUCCGUGAUCUUUCUUUUCAUUUCUGCAUUUAGUUUGAAAAUUACCGUAUUAGAUCCUUUACGAUGAUGUUGCUCGAUGAUGUUGCUCGUAUCUAAGUAUUUAGAUAGCAAAAUGGAAAAUAGGAGCGUCUCCCGAACUCUAACAAAGUCCCCCCCCGUUUGAUACAAUCAGAUGCUGUUUGUUUGGAUUAGAUUUUCCUAAACGUCCACAGUUCUAUUUGUCUCUUUUUUAGUUGAGAUGUUGAUCAUUCUGAAUAUCACUUAAUCCGAAUGUUUUAAGAAGACUCUUAUCACCCUGUUUUUGUAGAAUUAAUAACUAUUUAAUCUCGAUCUCCUUUGAAUUACGAUCUUCCGAGUUAUCACAUGAAGUUAUUCACAAGGACCCUUUAUUUCCCGACAAAAUAAAAAACUGCUUUGAUGAAGCUCCUCCCCUGAUAUCUUGCAUUCUUUUAAAAGACAUUUUUAGAACUCAUCAACAUCCAAUAUCUGGCCGCAAUCAGCGGGGAUACAGAUAUCGCACAUGUAAACAGGAUUUUCCAACAGAAUAAGAACAACAAUGAGAAGUUGGGAAGUGUCCCAUUAGUGUCAACUUCAGUCAUCAGGAACGAGGAUUGUUGGCCUCACGGGUCUUGCUUUUCAACGUUGAUGCCGACAUAACUUUCAAAAACCAAUAGUUUUUAGCGGAUUCGCUUUUUGACUUUUGUUUCUUUCGAAACCUGAAUAAAUAUUAGCUUGUCUUCACGUGGAAUGGGAGAUUGGGCGGGAGAUAAAUGUAAAUUUUUAAUUUUUUUUAUUAGUUAUUACUUCAGUUUUUUAAUUUU